rnacentral:lncRNA from 1 species
CUGCGCUCUGAUCUCUCUGGGGCAAUGUGCAGUUCCUUCCCGCCUGGACAAUGAGCAGAAAGCAUGAAAACGUUUGGCCCUCCAGUCCCUGUCCCCAUAUAGCUAGAAAGAUCAUCUUCAACAUGCCAAGGUGCAAUGAAAUUAAGCAAUAAACAAUGCAUCCUAAAAUCUGAAUCUUCAGGGUACAAGAAAAGAAAGACACUUGGAAAUUCACACUACAGUAAAACCCAUCAAUAUUCAUGGCAGGGAAAGUUCAAAUAGGAAAAUCUUGAAUUAACUUUAGAUAAAUA